rnacentral:rRNA from 1 species
AAUGAACGCUGGCGGCAUGCCUUACACAUGCAAGUCGAACGGCAGCAUGACCUAGCUUGCUAGGUUGAUGGCGAGUGGCGAACGGGUGAGUAAUGCAUCGGAACGUGCCUUUUAGUGGGGGAUAACGUAGCGAAAGUUACGCUAAUACCGCAUAUUCUCUGAGGAGGAAAGCAGGGGACCUUCGGGCCUUGCGCUAGAAGAGCGGCCGAUGUCGGAUUAGCUAGUUGGUGAGGUAAAGGCUCACCAAGGCAACGAUCCGUAGCGGGUCUGAGAGGAUGAUCCGCCACACUGGGACUGAGACAAGGCCCAGACUCCUACGGGAGGCAGCAGUGGGGAAUUUUGGACAAUGGGCGCAAGCCUGAUCCAGCCAUGCCGCGUGAGUGAAGAAGGACUUCGGGUUGUAAAGCUCUUUCGGCUGGGAAGAAAUCGCACCCUCUAAUACAGGGUGUGGAUGACGGUACCAGCAGAAGAAGCACCGGCUAACUACGUG